rnacentral:lncRNA from 1 species
AUGAUAUUGGCAUGAGCAUAGACGAUGCCGCCAUUAUCAGUGUAGAUGACAACAUUAGCUUUGUAUCCGUCAUUGAAAAGACGAUCCCACAUAUCUUUUGUGGCUGUGGGAACGCAGGUGUGCUCUGGAGCUACAUCGUUACGGUAUCUUUUUUGGUGACCAUCAGAUUUUGAAGGAAGAGGUGGAGGGAUCGGUACAGAAGAAGAAUCAGCAGCUUUUUGAAGAUCAACACAAGCCAUCACCAUUUCUCCUUUUUAUCUUUUCCCUCCCUGAAGCAAAACCAAUUGAAACUUUUGAUUAUAUGUUAAAUACAGAGAUCUUUGCUUUUACUUCACACAAUAAAAAUUCUAUGAAUAAUCCAUUAUCAUUUCACAAAUGUUUUUAAAACCUUUAUUUACGAUCAAGAAUCAUAACAUAUCUUUGAAACUUUUUUCAAGAUUCCAUGAAACAGUUUAACCAUAAUCGUUUUUUCCUCACGCAAUACAGAAAAACAAACAAUGGUCGAGAUCAAACACUAGAUAAUUCAAAACAGAUGAAUAGAGAAAAUGUUAAGAAACAAGAACAUACCUCCUUCAAACGAGCUAAGCUAGAAUCUUGAUUCUGACCGAACCGUUAGAGCAAGUUCAAUCAAAAUUAACUCAAUUAUGAGAAUAUAUAUAAAAGUCUCCUCCUUCCUCUAACCAGCAGGAGAAGAAACUCUAUAGAGAAGCUUCAAAACAGAUCACAGAUCUCUUCUCAUUAUAUAAACACAAACACACUCUCGAAACAAGGGAACACGACAAAAGAUCUUUUGAAGAAAAUAAAUAAAUUGGAUAUUUAUUUUUGUUGCUCACUUUUUUUCUUUCCGUCAAUUAUUAUUACAAAGAUAUUUUCUUGUUCAUCACCGCCAAACAAACAACACCUGCGCAAAAAAUCACCGAGGGGCGCGUGGAUGCUACGGUUACGAAACGGACGGCUGAGAGCGAUUACGCAGGAUAAGUCACCUCUCUGCACACUAGUGUCACCACGGAGGUCUCCUCCUCCACUCCAUACGCCACCUCCACCUCCACCUCCUCCCCCUCCUCCUCGUCCUCCUCCGCCUCCGCCUCCUCAGAUACGGCCAAGAGAUUUCCAGAUACCUCGAAAGCUCAGCAAUCCAGAAGCAACGAAGCCAGACGAUCAAUCAAGAAAACUAGCAUUCAAGACUCCAAGUCCUCAAUCGAAAGCUGUUGAAGAGGCCAAAAGUGUAUCAGCUGACGGGGACACGGAUCCAAGCAAGCCAAAGUUGAAGCCACUCCACUGGGACAAAGUACGCGCGAGCUCUGAUCGUGCCACAGUUUGGGACCAGCUCAAAUCAAGCUCAUUCCAGUGCGUAUUACUGUCUUCUGCAUUGUUGUGAAACAUACGUUUGAAUUUUCCGUUUUCGAUAACUAUUUGAAUCUUUGUGGUAUUAUUAAACAGAGUGAACGAAGAUCGGAUGGAGCAUCUGUUUGGUUGCAGUUCAGCAAGUUCAGCUCCAAAGGAACCUGUGAGAAGAUCAGUGAUGCCUCCAGCUGAGAAUGAGAACAGAGUACUUGAUCCAAAGAAAUCUCAGAACAUUGCAAUCCUCUUGAGAGCACUGAACGUAACUCGUGAGGAGGUGUCAGAAGCUCUUUUAGAUGGUAAGUUGUUGUCUCCCACUUGAUUCAUUACUUACGGUAAAGUUACCUUUUGCACAAAGUAACGUUUGGCCUUAACCUAGAUCGUUAUAAGUUAGUAAGCUAUUUGUAUUUAGGUUCCUCUGUUCAACGCAUAACCUGUUCUUAGUUUUGAUGCCUUGAUGGGCUAGUGGUGAUCUUUCUAGUAGCAGGAAUAGUAAUAAAUGCUUCUCCUCCUCCUCCUCCAGUUUUCCAGUCCACGCCGCCUCCUCCCGACGCUCCCGAUCAGCCAUUUUUCCCGGAGAAUCCUUCCACGCCUGACCAGUCUCAGCUCCCUCCUCCUCCUCCGCCUCCUGCUUCCUCCGACGCCAAUGGCGGAUUACCGAUUCCGACGGCUACUACUCAGCAGGCGAAGCCUGGGAAGAAAUUCGCGAUCGUCAUAUCCGUUGGAGUCGUCACGCUCGGUAUGCUCUCAGCUCUAGCUUUCUUCUUGUAUCGCCACAAAGCUAAACACGCAAGCGACACUCAGAAACUCGUUAGCAGAGGAGGCGAUGGCGGUUCUCGAAGAUUCCAGGAAGAUCCGCUUCCACCGACGUCUUCCACGUUUCUCUAUAUGGGAACCGUUGAACCGAGCCGCGAACCGGCAAGUGAAUCUAUUGGACCGGUUAAUACUUCUCCGUACCGGAAAUUAAAUUCGGUUACGAGAUCAGAUCGAUACCGGCCGAGUCCUGAGCUUCAACCGCUUCCACCGUUAGCUAAACCGCCGCAACCGUCUGAGAACUCUCCCUCGGCCUUGUCUCCUUCUACGUCGUCUUCCGACGAAGAAUGCCGCGGCACCGCGUUUUACACGCCGCAUGGAUCUGCUAUCAGCAGCGACGACGGUUACUACACGGCGUUUCCUCGGUCAGCCAACAGCAACGGCCAUUCCUCAGGAUCGAUUCCUCACUCGAAGAGGACUUCUCCGAAGUCGAAGUUUGGAUCUAGGUCGCCGGAGAUGAAGCACGUUAUCAUUCCGUCGAUAAAGCAGAAACCGCCGCCAAUACAAUCUCCACCACUAAGGGGCUUGGAAACUGAUCCUUAUCCACAGAACAAGCCUAAGUUCUCUCAGCCUCCUCCUCCGCCGAAUAGAGCGGCGUUUCAGGCGAUUACGCAGGAUAAGUCACCUCUCAGCACACGAGUGUCACCACGGAGGUCUCCUCCUCCUCCACUCCAUACGCCACCUCCACCUCCACCUCCUCCUCCUCCUCAGAUACGGCCAAGAGAUUUCCAGAUACCUCGAAAACUCAGCAAUCCAGAAGCAACGAAGCCAGACGAUCAAUCAAGAAAACUAGCAUUCAAGACUCCAAGUCCUCAAUCGAAAGCUGUUGAAGAGGCCAAAAGUGUAUCAGCUGACGGGGACACGGAUCCAAGCAGGCCAAAGUUGAAGCCACUCCACUGGGACAAAGUACGCGCGAGCUCUGAUCGUGCCACAGUUUGGGACCAGCUCAAAUCAAGCUCAUUCCAGUGCGUAUUUAUUGUCUUUGUUAAACAUACGUUUGAAUUUGCCUUUUCAAUAACUAUUUUGAAUCUUUGUGGUAUUAUUAAACAGAGUGAACGAAGAUCGGAUGGAGCAUCUGUUUGGUUGCAGUUCAGCAAGUUCAGCUCCAAAGGAACCUGUGAGAAGGUCAGUGAUGCCUCCAGCCGAGAAUGAGAACAGAGUACUUGAUCCAAAGAAAUCGCAGAACAUUGCAAUCCUCUUAAGAGCACUGAAUGUAACUCGUGAGGAAGUGUCAGAAGCUCUUUUAGAUGGUAAGUUUUUGUCUCCAUUUUAAUUCGUUACUUAGGGUAAAGUUCCAUUUGCACCAAGUACCAAUUGGCCUUUGCCUUGAUCGUUAUAAGUUUUAUAGGUUCCUCUAUUAGACACAUAGCGUUUUGAGUAUUGAUGCGGUGAUGGGUUAAUGGAAAUCUUUCUGUUAGUAGGAAUAGUAAUAGAGAUGCUCAUAAGAGGUAUUGGUGGUAAAAGGAUAAAUAAUAAUACUAAAGAGGCUUUGGCCACAAGCUACAAUCAUUUCAAAGAACAAUGACAUAGGAAAUGAUUUUAUCUGCUUUAUAUUGCUUCUUACAUGAUUGCGCAACUUAUGAAAAAAAACUAAUCCUUUAAUUUACAGGGGUAGCAAGCAUGAUGUAGAGCUAUAUACUUGAAACUUAUUAAGAUUCUGAAAAACAUAAAUUGAUUUCCUUAUGAAUUGUUAUCUAAGAUGCUUUUAAAUUUUCGUUCCUAUUAUUUCAAUCUAAUUAAACUUGUGGCACGGUAACAGGUAAUCCCGAGAGCUUAGGUGCAGAACUUCUAGAGACUUUGGUGAAGAUGGCUCCAACAAAGGAAGAAGAGAUAAAACUCCGAGAGUACUCUGGCGAUGUCUCAAAACUAGGAACAGCUGAAAGAUUCCUUAAAACCAUUCUCGAUAUCCCUUUUGCAUUCAAACGAGUUGAAGCAAUGUUGUAUAGAGCCAAUUUUGAUGCAGAAGUCAAGUAUCUAAGGAACUCUUUCCAGACACUAGAGGUUAGUUAGUCACUCGCUAAAUGAUUCAAUCUCUCAAAUGAAUUUGUCUUGAUAGUCUCAACCCCUUGUUUGCUUUUGUAGGAAGCAAGCUUAGAAUUAAAAGCAAGCAGGCUAUUCCUUAAGCUCCUCGAAGCUGUUCUAAUGACAGGAAACAGAAUGAACGUUGGCACAAAUCGUGGAGAAGCCAAAGCCUUCAAACUCGAUACUCUUUUAAAACUCGUGGACAUAAAAGGAGUUGACGGCAAAACCACAUUGCUUCACUUUGUCGUCCAAGAAAUCACAAAAUCCGAGGCAACCACAACAACAAUAGAUGAAACCAUCCUCCAUGAAAACAAAGACGGUUUCAGAAAGCAAGGAUUACAAGUCGUGGCUGGACUGAGUAGAGAUCUGGCAAACGUAAAAAAAUCAGCCGGAAUGGAUUCCGACGUACUGAGUGGGUACGUGACAAAGCUCGAGACGGGUCUUGAGAAACUCCGAGCUUUUGUCAAGACAGAGACAACAACAACAACUCCAGGGAAGUUCUUUGAUUCGAUGAAAACGUUUCUCAAAGAGGCCGAAGAAGAGAUUCGAAAGAUCAAAGGAGGCGAAAGAAAAGCUCUGUCAAUGGUUAAAGAAGUAACGGAGUAUUUCCACGGAGACGCUGCAAAAGAAGAAGCACAUCCUUUGAGAAUCUUCAUGGUCGUGAGAGAUUUUCUCGGAGUUCUUGAUAACGUUUGUAAAGAAGUUAAGACGAUGCAGGAAAUGUCGUCAGCGAUGGGUUCGGCUUCAGCUAGAUCGUUCAGGAUUUCAGCUACAGCUUCGUUACCGGUUCUUCACAGGUAUAAAUCAAGACAAGAAGAUACAAGCUCAGAUAAUGAACACAGCAGCAACUCUUCUACGUGAUGAAACACACAAAACAAAAAGCUGUACAGUUUCUUACACCGGAGACAAGGGAUUAAGUUGGUGUUUCUCAAACCGGAGGAGAUAUUGAGUUAGUUAACUCGGAGAAUAUGGGCCGGUUCAUGAAGGAACAAACACUACAAUGAUCAAAUUUUCGUUAACAAAUAAGUUUCUUUGUUAAUUUUUCUUUUUUCGUCGGCAGUUGAAAUAUAGAUAUAUAUGUAUAAAUAUAUCCUAAUAUCUUGAGGUUAUUAGUGGAGAUUUUGUUUAUUUUGGACGUUAUAAUCUUUAUCCAAUUCAAAAAGUUAGUAGUCGUAUGACCACAUAAGUAAGAAUUACGAGAUAGGUUGGAAUCGUGUUUACAUCUUUUUUUUUCUUCUUGUUUUCUUGUUCUAAAGGAAUCAGAAUCCAAUACGAAAGUACAUAAUAAAAGGAGAUUUGUAAAGGAAACGUACAAAUGUAUGGUUGUAAUAUGAGUGCACGGAUUUGAAUUUGUGACGAUGGAUGUUUCCAAUAUUAUUUAAUGAAAUACGAACAUGUGAUGUGAAUGAGACCGAUUCUUCUGUACAGCUUGUACCACACGUCUCUCUCUUUCUUACUGCAUUUGUCCUCUUCUGCGUCACUUUUUUCUCCCACCACGAUCUUUUCGUUGCAGUUUCCCAUUUUUGGAGGUAUUAAAAAUAACAAAACAAAGUAGCGUCGUAUUUAACUUUGGUAGAUUCCUGCUCUUUUUUUUUUGUCGUUUCUUUCUCAACAAGACACUGAGUUAAAAACAACAAAACCACUAAACCGAAACGAGUAAUCAAGCUCUAUAUAAAUAAACCGGAUCUAACAUUCAUAACCAACCAACUUAGAUUUUGACCACCAAAUGUGUAUCUUUCUUUCAUUUCAUUUUAUUAUGUUACACUUUUUUUUCAGGGAGAAGAUCACAAGAAACGCUUAAAACUCGCCAUUCUUGGGACUGAAGAAAACGAUUAAGACAUGGUGGAGGAAGAUCUGGUCACGGGUAGAAAGAAAGGAGAGGCUCCGAUUUUCUUAGAACCUAACACAUUCUUCACCAGAAGUUUCCAUCUAACCUCAUCCUUCUUGCUCUGUUUCUCCAUCUUCUCCUUAAAGUUUCCGCAUAGUGGGACUCGACACUGAUCAGAAUCAGCGCAAACACGUGAAUGCAACUCAAGGAGUUGCCACAUUCUCUUGCAAUGCACGCAACCUCCCGGAACCCUAAGCUUGCAUCCAGCGAAAUGCCUGAUCAGCGAUUCCAACCCUUUGCAAGCUUCGUAGUGACACGUGGCGUGGUUCGGUUUCAAAUCUUUAUCGUGCGGUCCUAUCGUUUUACACCCGUCUCGGCAUAUAUGAACAAGCGCUUCCAUCGCUUCGUAUAGCUGCGAGUAUAUCCUCUCUUCAUUGCGUUUUCUGAUCCUCUCUUUCCGAGCCUGCACAUAUGUUUAACAACGUUUUAGAAAAAAAAUGGUAACGAGCCAGAGUUGAAAAAUGUAAUUAAUUACUUACGUUUUCUUCGAUGAAGACAGAGUCUCUAAGUUCUUUCUCGAGAAAGGGAUGGCUUUUCUUCAUAGCUGUCCAUGCUUCUGUCGCGUAAAGCUCCUUGAAGUGUUUCAUGAUCGUACGGUGAGAUAUAACGCUGAGCCGAGGGAAAUCACAUAGCAGGGCAAGCUGGAAGACGUCGAUUACGUUCUCAGUGGUGAGCAAACCAUGUUCUAGAUGCCAUUCGCAGACCCGUUUCAGCUGAGGAACCACGUACGCGUGAGACAGAAGCAGCAAGUGCAUGAUGUACUCAUUCAUCUCUUCUUUCUUAUAGCUACAAAAAAAGAAAGAAAGUCAGGUUUAAUAAAAACUAAGAGAAUGUUAAAAGAAGAGGUAAAUAUUAUAGAGAAGUGUACCAAGAAGAGUAGAGGAAACGAAUGAAAACUCGGACAGCCUCAUGAGGGACGCCACGGAUUGAGAUUGUAUACCACUUUCCAUGUUUUUUGGCUUGCUUCAACAUGCCUUUGAUCACACUUGAAGCAGUCCCCUGUUAAAUUAAAAACCAACAAAAAAAAAGACUUAAAGUCUAACCUAGAGAUCCAAACAAUACAAGGAUCAAUAUAAGAUUUCAAAGGAGAGAGCAUUACAAUGAUAUUGGCAUGAGCAUAGACGAUGCCGCCAUUAUCAGUGUAGAUGACAACAUUAGCUUUGUAUCCGUCAUUGAAAAGACGAUCCCACAUAUCUUUUGUGGCUGUGGGAACGCAGGUGUGCUCUGGAGCUACAUCGUUACGGUAUCUUUUUUGGUGACCAUCAGAUUUUGAAGGAAGAGGUGGAGGGAUCGGUACAGAAGAAGAAUCAGCAGCUUUUUGAAGAUCAACACAAGCCAUCACCAUUUCUCCUUUUUAUCUUUUCCCUCCCUGAAGCAAAACCAAUUGAAACUUUUGAUUAUAUGUUAAAUACAGAGAUCUUUGCUUUUACUUCACACAAUAAAAAUUCUAUGAAUAAUCCAUUAUCAUUUCACAAAUGUUUUUAAAACCUUUAUUUACGAUCAAGAAUCAUAACAUAUCUUUGAAACUUUUUUCAAGAUUCCAUGAAACAGUUUAACCAUAAUCGUUUUUUCCUCACGCAAUACAGAAAAACAAACAAUGGUCGAGAUCAAACACUAGAUAAUUCAAAACAGAUGAAUAGAGAAAAUGUUAAGAAACAAGAACAUACCUCCUUCAAACGAGCUAAGCUAGAAUCUUGAUUCUGACCGAACCGUUAGAGCAAGUUCAAUCAAAAUUAACUCAAUUAUGAGAAUAUAUAUAAAAGUCUCCUCCUUCCUCUAACCAGCAGGAGAAGAAACUCUAUAGAGAAGCUUCAAAACAGAUCACAGAUCUCUUCUCAUUAUAUAAACACAAACACACUCUCGAAACAAGGGAACACGACAAAAGAUCUUUUGAAGAAAAUAAAUAACCACGUACGCGUGAGACAGAAGCAGCAAGUGCAUGAUGUACUCAUUCAUCUCUUCUUUCUUAUAGCUACAAAAAAAGAAAGAAAGUCAGGUUUAAUAAAAACUAAGAGAAUGUUAAAAGAAGAGGUAAAUAUUAUAGAGAAGUGUACCAAGAAGAGUAGAGGAAACGAAUGAAAACUCGGACAGCUUCAUGAGGGACGCCACGGAUUGAGAUUGUAUACCACUUUCCAUGUUUUUUGGCUUGCUUCAACAUGCCUUUGAUCACACUUGAAGCAGUCCCCUGUUAAAUUAAAAACCAACAAAAAAAAAGACUUAAAGUCUAACCUAGAGAUCCAAACAAUACAAGGAUCAAUAUAAGAUUUCAAAGGAGAGAGCAUUACAAUGAUAUUGGCAUGAGCAUAGACGAUGCCGCCAUUAUCAGUGUAGAUGACAACAUUAGCUUUGUAUCCGUCAUUGAAAAGACGAUCCCACAUAUCUUUUGUGGCUGUGGGAACGCAGGUGUGCUCUGGAGCUACAUCGUUACGGUAUCUUUUUUGGUGACCAUCAGAUUUUGAAGGAAGAGGUGGAGGGAUCGGUACAGAAGAAGAAUCAGCAGCUUUUUGAAGAUCAACACAAGCCAUCACCAUUUCUCCUUUUUAUCUUUUCCCUCC